AUAACGACUCUCGGCAACGGAUAUCUCGGCUCUCGCAUCGAUGAAGAACGUAGCAAAAUGCGAUACUUGGUGUGAAUUGCAGAAUCCCGUGAACCAUCGAGUUUUUGAACGCAAGUUGCGCCCGAAGCCAUUAGGCUAAGGGCACGUCUGCCUGGGCGUCACGU
rnacentral:rRNA from 1 species